UUUCUCAUCUUUGUAGAAGAAAAAAAUGAACGUAACACGGUGAUCAGCACAUCUUUCCGAAAGUUGUGCAACGUAAUACACAACCCGGGAUUCCCUCUGAAUUCCUAGCAAAUACCAGAAUCAUUUCUCAAGCGGCAAAUCUAGGAUCACAAGGAGCCUCAUCGCACCGGGUUCGAGUGGUCAAGAAUAUCAUAUGGAUUUUCCCCAACUUCGAUCUGUCGUUACGUGUUUUAUCACAAAAGAUGGGUGUCAGGGGAUUGUUAAGAAAAUCGGCUCAGGUAUAGACAAUCAGCUUGACGAGCCCUUAUAGUAGACGAGA